AACGAACGCUGGCGGCAGGCCUCGUACAUGCAAGUCUAACGGGUGUAGCAAUACAUCAGUGGCGCACGGGUGAGUAACGCGUGGGAAUAAGCCCUUGACUACGGAACAACCUCGGGAAACUGAGGCUAAUACCGUAUAAUGUCUCCGGACCAACGAUUUAUCGGUCAAGGAUUAGCCCGCGUCUGAUUAGGUAGUUGGUGAGGUAACGGCUCACCAAGCCUACGAUCAGUAGCUGGUCUGAGAGGAUGAUCAGCCACACUGGGACUGAGACACGGCCCAGACUCCUACGGGAGGCAGCAGUAAGGAAUAUUGGACAAUGGGGGAAACCCUGAUCCAGCCAUGCCGCGUGAGUGAAGAAGGCCUUCGGGUUGUAAAGCUCUUUUACCCCUGACGAUAAUGACGGUAAGGGGAGAAAAAGCCACGGCUAACUUCGUGCCAGCCGCCGCGGUAA
rnacentral:rRNA from 1 species